rnacentral:lncRNA from 1 species
GCCUGUACCCAUUCCCAUCAGCCCUGCUACACUGUCCUGCUCUGAGUUCUGACUACUCUCUGUCUCUAGGGAGGACUUGGCUGAAAUCUCCGAGGCAGGAGAUGAAUCCUGAUGAGAGCCAAAGUUUCUCUGAGGUGGCUCAUGGCCUAGACGCUGCUGCCCAGAACGCUGUGAGUGGGGGAAGGGAAAGUUCCCUUUGGCUAUUGUUGCAGACAGACAGCAGGACACCAGCACACACACUCAGCAGCUGCCCUCGUGGGUAUUUGUUAUAAGGCUGUUGAGCUCCAAGGGCUCCUUUUGGGAGGACCAUGCUGUUCUGGUGCAGUUCAACGGAGAAGAGCCACGGCGCUAUGUGGCUUGUCUCCGGAACGUCCUCAUCUGGGGAACGCCACCUCAGCACCCCCUCAGCGCCCCAAAGCUUCUGUCUGUGGUUGUUUCCUGUGCGAGUACAACUCGGAGCAUUCAAGCUGUUGUACCAGACUCAUCUUGCCCAGUGUCAGAAUCUCUUGUUCAAGACAGGCUGGGUGUGAAGCAUGCCUAUAGUCCUGGCACAUCAGGAGCUCAAGGCCGGUCCAGCUACUUGAGACCCGUGUGAGAGCUUAGAAGGUAAAGGUGCUUGCUGCUGUGCUUGACAGCGUGACGGAAAACAAGAAUGGACCCCUACAUGUUGUUCUUGGAUCUCCAUACAUGUUCCCAUGGACCCCCAAUAAAUAAAAUGUAAUUAAAAAAAAAA